rnacentral:rRNA from 1 species
AGCGUAUAUUAAAGUUGUUGCAGUUAAAAAGCUCGUAGUUGAAUUUCGGGAUUGACACAUCGGUCGUGCCUUAAGGGGUAUGAACUGGUGUAGUCAAUUUCUCACCUUCUGGAGAACCGCGAUGCCCUUAAUUGGGUGUCGCGGGGAACCAGGACCUUUACUUUGAAAAAAUUAGAGUGUUUAAAGCAGGCAUUUUGCUUGAAUACAUCAGCAUGGAAUAAUAAAAUAGGACGGCAUGAUUCUAUUUUGUUGGUUUCUAGGAUCACCGUAAUGAUUAAUAGGGAUAGUUGGGGGCAUUAGUAUUCAAUUGUCAGAGGUGAAAUUCUUGGAUUUAUUGAAGGCUAACUACUGCGAAAGCAUUUGCCAAGGAUGUUUUCAUUAAUCAAGAACGAAAGUUAGGGGAUCGAAGACGAUCAGAUACCGUCGUAGUCUUAACCAUAUACUAUGCCGACUAGGAAUCAGACGAUGUUAAUUUUUUAAUGACUC